rnacentral:lncRNA from 1 species
GUCACGGAGGGACGGGCAGUCUCCUGUGCUGUUAUGCUGUGAUAAUGAUCCAGCAAUACGGUUCAGUCAAAAAUCAGGGUGGAAACUCCAGUCCAGCUGUGGUAGGUAAGGUUUUGGAACGUUGGUUCAGACAUAGAGAAGCAAUCGGUCUGAGGAGCCUGGCAUCUGACAGAAGCAGGAUGAGUAUCUGUGAGUGGACAAGGGACUUCCCACAUUCUCGUAAGCAGUAAGAGUAGCAGUUCGUAUUUUCAUAAUUCAAAUACAUUGGAUGCAUACAGUA